GGUGGGGGGUGAUAAUAGCUCUGGGACUAUUCCACGGAUGGACAGAAGUGGGACCAUGAUCUAGCAGUGGUGACGAAGCCCGAGUCUAGUUGAUUGUUGUCUCACAGCUGGUUCUGCGCUGUCCUGACUUGUGGAAAUCCUUGCUGAUGGAGGAGCUACGGGGCUUAGGUCAUGAGAAGGUUACAUCUGGCUUGGGGUGGAGCCAGGGUCUCUAAGCAAUCAGGGCUUGCUGUUUCUGGAAUGUUAGAUAAGCUGGGAAGGACUUUGAAGAAGAACAAGCUGGAGGGGUAAAGUAGAGUCACUGAGGACAACAACCCUGGUCCCUCCUCAGGGGAUCAAAGGAUGAUUUCAAAGGCACCUGCCCUGCCCCGCUUUAGGCUCUCCUGGGUAGCAGAGCUGGGCAGGUUGUGCUAAGGGGCUUGGCAUGUAUAGAAAGGUGAGAAAGCCAGAGUGCUGGGGGCUCACCCCAGUCUUCACCCCAGGGGUGCCCUGCAUUGCCAAGUAAGAACUCAGGAAGCACUGAGUGCCUUUGUGAGUCCCAAGCACCACCUCACCGCACAGGGACAGAUCCACUUGAAGCCAGUGACUGGGCUGUGCGAGACAGCAGGAAAAGACAAGGUGUGCAGAGAAGGGAGUUUAUUUAGAUCACAGGCCACUGUGAAGGGGGGUGGCAGGCAAGCUUCAAGUGGGGACUCACACCAGGUGGCGGGUUUAGUGAGGGUAUGGAAAGAGGGUGUAUGGGGGCUGGGGAUUUAGCUCAGCGGCAUGAGCACCUGUGUUGCAAGCAGUCAGUCGUGAGUUUGAUCCCUGGUACCGAUAAAAAUGAAAAUGACAAAAAAAAAAGAAAAGAAAGAGGGUGUAUGCAGCAAGGGUGACUGGCUAAGUCAUGUCCCCCGCAGAUGGCUCAGCACUGCCGAUCUCCCAGGAGCGCUUGUCCUGAGUUCAGGGCUCUGUGUUCACAGCUGUGACUCUGACAACCCCACUGCCUAGGGCCUUUAGCUGCAGCAGAGAAGGUAAUGCACAGGUCUAUGUAUGUCUUCUAGAGAAGAGGGGUCAGGACUCUUUGGAAGGUAAGAAUGGGACUUUCUCAUCAGCAGUUUUGAUCCCACCUGGGACUGCCUAGGGAGAGCGAAUGUCUAAGUCUAGUUCCUCUCUUCAGAGAGUCAGCCCUUGUUGCCGGUGUGGCCACUGUACACUGUUCUGCUGAACUUGAGGCUGAUUUGAAGCCAGAUCCACCUGUCAGGAAUACUGGGAGUGGAAACAUUCACACCAGCUCUGCCCCUGGCCCAGGCCUUGCCUUCUGUGCGCCAGCAGCCUGCGUCCUUCACCACUGCUGGGAGGUGGGGGAGGCCAGUGCCACGGUGCUCGCACUCCUGCCGGUCCUUCGCACAGAUGGCAAGGAAGGGUAGGGUCCGACAGAACUGGGCCAUGCCUGGAGCCUAAGGGCAGGUGAGGCCUGCAGCCCCAUGUCACCCAUGGCCAAGCAUCUAGGGGUCCUGUAAGCAGCAGCUGCUGGAUGUACAGGCUCGUCCUCAGGGCCCCUGCAGCACCCUCUUCUGCAAAGCCUCUUUGGACCACCCCAACCUGGAGGAGUGGCUUGUGCCUCUGUGAAGGACCCUUCCUCCUGGCAGGGCCACCCCUGAGUCCUGAUGUACAUGUGAUAGGUGGGUAUCAUGUCCAUGUCAGCUGUCAAAGCCAGCCCUCACCCCAACACUCAGCUCCAGGGAGAUACAGCCUGGACUCUCAUUCCUCCUCCACUGAGUGACCAACUGGGGACACAGCUAGGCUCCAGCUCCUCUUUUUUUGUUUGUUUGUUUGUUUGUUUUCUUCCUUUUUAUCAGUACCAGGGAUCGAACUCACGACUGCCUGUUUGCAAGGCAGGCACUUAGGCCGCUGGGCUAAAUCCCCAGCCCCUCCAGCUCCUUUGAUUUAGGAACCUGCCCGUGAGCCCCAUUUCCAGCCCUUAAAGCCUCCAGAAAAGACCCCUACUCGCAUUUCAUCUUUCCUUCCAAAGGCACAGAGCAGCAGUGGCCACGGGUGUCUGCAGGUGUCAGCACACGUGCAGCCUCGCAGACACGUGUCUUCCUGGGCAGAGGCAGGGGUUAUUAUGGGACAGGCCAUGCAGAUAAUGCUCAAGGCCGAGCUGUCAGCGUCCUAUGCAGAGCCACAGCCAUGUACAGGAAGGAGGAGGGGGUGUGGGCAAGGCAAACCCCUGCCACUGCUGCUGUCACAGGCUGCCCAACUCAGGGUGGGCAGGCUGGGUGACCUCCAGCGCCAAGUUUCCUGUCCUCUCUUCAGCCUCUCCAGCUGAAUGACCAGUUAACUGUUGCCAUCCCUCUAAGCAUUAGGGCGACAGAGUCAUCAGGGAAUUUCCUCUGUUUCUGGAAGUUACCAGAACUUCCUGGCCCUCAAUAAGGGAAGAGGAGGAAAUGGGAUGAACACAGCAGGUCAGUAGGACCUGCCUUAGUCAGUGUGCAGGAACACGGGAGGAAGGGGGCCUCCAUUUGAGCAGAGAUCCCAUACUGAUAUUGACUGUGCAGCUCUGCACUGUGAUCUUGUGACAGGACCAUGUGACCAGCAGUGACCAGCACGAACAGCUGGAGAGCAGAUGAGCCCUUCCUAAAUUCCCAGCCCUUAUAGUAGCACAAUUUGUAAAAGCCAGAUCCUGGAAACAGCCCACAUGUCCAUCAACUGGAGAAUGGAUAAAGAAAAUGUGGUUUUUAUACAAUGGAGUACUCUGCCAUAAAGGAGGAAUUUACAUUUCCAGGCUCUCCGACCUAUGACAAGAGGAUUGCUUUUAGUUUUCUCAAACUUGAAACUGGAGGGUUGAUCAACCAAAUGGGAAUUUUGGUCCUAAGUGCGAGAGGAGCUGGGUAAUCAGCUGCUUGGAACCAUGAGCCCUGCGUGUGGACAAGCAAUUCUGUCUGGUCACUGGCGGCGACUCUGAUGGGGAAAUCAUAUGAUGGUUUUGAGCUUCAUAUUUUAUUUACAAGAAAAUGAAGAGUAUCCUCUGUAAACUCUAACUGGGGGUAUGAAAAUCAAUACAAAGACAAGGUGCUGGCUCCAAGGUGCCGGCUGCAUGGAGUCCAUGCCGCUGUCCCUUUAAAGAGGAUUUUUGUUACUUGAAACAACAAAACAAAAUCCCACAGGAUAUCUUCUUGCUGCACAUGUGACAGCAUUAAAAAUAAAAAUGACCAAACUAAUUCUCAGGUCAAAAAUCGUGGCGAGCAGGAUGUCACCUUGUUGCAGUGACAUCCCAGGACUCAGUACUCAUCCAGAGUGUCUGCUCGGGGGAUGGAGAGGCCUCGAUCCUUCAGCGCCUGCACCUUCAGCUUCUCCGCUUCCAGCUUGGUCUGCUGCUCUACUCUCUGCUCUUCCAGGAUCUCCUCGAUGGACACUUGCUGGAGGGGUGUGUCGCUCUCCUUCUCCAAAUCCUGCAAAACAGGCAGCUCUAAAACAUCCACCUGAAGCCCAGGAAAAGAAAAUCUCCCUGCUCCACAGACACGUGGCUCCUGGGUCAGGGCUAGGCAAAGGCUUGGCCCAGGGACACGCACUCUGUGUGUACGGGGCCAGCAUCAGUGUGCACAGCAAGGACACAGCUUAACCAAAAUCCCACGGUAGCCAGGAGUGACUUCAGUCAGGUGAUAACUUUCCUUUAACAUAAAAUUAUUAGCGCUGCUUAUAGGUAGCUAUCUCCCUACUAGUACAGAAUCCAAGAAAAUUACUAGUAAAUUUUAUACUUUGAAAGUCAGUUAGCCGGGCGUGGUGGCUCACACCUGUAAUCCCAACACUCAGGAGGCUGAGGCAGGAGGAUCGUUAAGAGUUCGAGACCAGCCUAGGCUACAAAGUGAGCUCAAGGCCAGCCUGAACUGCACAGUGAGACACUGUCUCAAAAAGAGAAAAAAAAAAGUCAGUUUAAUUUGACAGUUUUUGCUCAGAAAGAAGGUAGAGAACACGAUUCCAUGCCUAAUGGCAAUAAACUGUUCCUCUGUGGCACUAAUUAGGCACACCUAUAAUGAGCACCUUCAAUGGAAACAAGUCUGUAGAAAACUUCAUCAAGCAGGGUGUGGAGGCAUACUCCAGUAACCCCAGCACUCGAGAGGCUGAAGUAGGAGGCUCACUGUGAAUUCAAGCCUACACAGUGAGUUCAAGGCCAGCCGGAGUUACACAGCUCAGACCCUGUCUCAACAAACGAACAAAUAAACAAACAAAUGUAUAGUA